AGAGGGGGCAAGCGUUAUUCGGAAUUAUUGGGCGUAAAGGGCGCGUAGGCGGCUUGGCAAGUGGAUGGUGAAAUCCCUCGGCUUAACCGAGGAACUGCCGUCCAAACUGCUUUGCUUGAGGCCGGGAGAGGCGAGUGGAAUUCCCAGUGUAGCGGUGAAAUGCGUAGAUAUUGGGAGGAACACCAGUGGCGAAGGCGGCUCGCUGGACCGGUUCUGACGCUGAUGCGCGAAAGCGUGGGGAGCAAACGGGAUUAGAUACCCCGGUAGUCCACGCCGUAAACGAUGAGUGCUUGGUGUAGCGGGUAUCGACCCCUGCUGUGCCGAAGUCAACACAUUAAGCACUCCGCCUGGGGAGUACGGUCGCAAGGCUG
rnacentral:rRNA from 1 species